UACGAAGGGUGCAAGCGUUACUCGGAAUUACUGGGCGUAAAGCGUGCGUAGGUGGUUCGUUAAGUCUGAUGUGAAAGCCCUGGGCUCAACCUGGGAAUGGCAUUGGAAACUGGCGACCUAGAGUGCGGUAGAGGAUGGCGGAAUUCCCGGUGUAGCAGUGAAAUGCGUAGAGAUCGGGAGGAACAUCUGUGGCGAAGGCGACACCCUGGACCAGCACUGACACUGAGGCACGAAAGCGUGGGGAGCAAACAGG
rnacentral:rRNA from 1 species